rnacentral:rRNA from 1 species
GACGAACGCUGGCGGCGUGCUUAACACAUGCAAGUCGAACGGAAAGGCCCUGCUUUUGUGGGGUGCUCGAGUGGCGAACGGGUGAGUAACACGUGAGUAACCUGCCCUUGACUUUGGGAUAACUUCAGGAAACUGGGGCUAAUACCGGAUAGGAGCUCCUGCUGCAUGGUGGGGGUUGGAAAGUUUCGGCGGUUGGGGAUGGACUCGCGGCUUAUCAGCUUGUUGGUGGGGUAGUGGCUUACCAAGGCUUUGACGGGUAGCCGGCCUGGGAGGGUGACCGGCCCCAUUGGGCCUGGGAUCGGGCCCGGACUCCUACGGGCGGCAGCGGUGGGGAUCUUUGCCCGAUGGGCGGCGGCCUGAUGCAGCAACGCCGCGUGCGGGAUGACGGCCUUCGGGUUGUAACCCGCUUUCGCCUGUGACGAAGCGUGCGUGACGGUACUGGAUAAGGAAGCCCCGGCUAACUACGUG